rnacentral:rRNA from 1 species
UACGUAGGGCGCAAGCGUUGUCCGGAAUUAUUGGGCGUAAAGAGCUCGUAGGCGGUCUGUCACGUCUGCCGUGAAAACCCGAGGCUUAACCUCGUGGCUUGCGGUGGAUACGGGCAGACUAGAGGUAGGUAGGGGAGAACGGAAUUCCCGGUGUAGCGGUGGAAUGCGCAGAUAUCAGGAGGAACACCGGUGGCGAAGGCGGGUCUCUGGGCAGUAACUGACACUGAGGAGCGAAAGCGUGGGGAGCGAACAGG